GUGGGGAAUAUUGCACAAUGGGGGAAACCCUGAUGCAGCGACGCCGCGUGAGUGAAGAAGUAUUUCGGUACGUAAAGCUCUAUCAGCAAGGAAGAAAAUGACGGUACUUGACUAAGAAGCCCCGGCUAACUACGUGCCAGCAGCCGCGGUAAUACGUAGGGGGCAAGCGUUAUCCGGAUUUACUGGGUGUAAAGGGAGCGUAGACGGUAUGGUAAGUCAGAUGUGAAAGCCCGGGGCUCAACCCCGGGACUGCAUUUGAAACUAUCAGACUAGAAUGCAGGAGAGGUAAGUGGAAUUCCUAGUGUAGCGGUGAAAUGCGUAGAUAUUAGGAGGAACACCAGUGGCGAAGGCGGCUUACUGGACUGUAACUGACGUUGAGGCUCGAAAGCGUGGGGAGCAAACAGGAUUAGAAACCCCUGUAGUCC
rnacentral:rRNA from 1 species